AAACAAUCGAGUAGAAUGCGGCGGGGGCGCCUCGGGAGCUGCGUCUUGGCUCCGAGUCCGCAGCCGUGCGGGGAGAAAAGCUUUUCCCGAACGUGCUGUGGCGCUCGCACGGGAAAUUGCCUUCAGCCAGAGGAUUACUGGAUGUUUCAAUCUGCUGAAAAGAAGGGGCUGUCCCUGAACCAAUGAAACAAUAAGAAGGAAGGGAGAGUGACAAGCUGUGGGGCAAUCUUUGCUCUCAGGGCCCGGGCACUUUCCUUUCACUGGUUCAGCAGAGAUCAACAAGAAGAGGCUGAGUCUGAGAAGUUAACCAUGCAUGGUUCAAGCCACCUGGCAAUGAGCUCUGCAGGCAUAGGAGGCAACCUUUCUGCCUUUAUCAUGAACCUGAGAGCAGUAUAACCAUCUGGCUGGUUAUAAUUUAACAGAAACCCCAUUUUUUAUCUUGCUAUGGUGGUGUGCUUUCUUUUAAAUGUCACCUGUAGAGUUUCCCAAUGAGUGGAGAAGUUUUGCUUUGUAUUUCUUACAGAUACUGACAAAAACUAGUCCACUGGAUUACCAUAAACCUAGCCAUAUUCUUUCUUAGAGGCAUGAGCAAGCUGAAAAGAGUUUGCAGUAACUUUUAUACUUUAAUCAAAAUAUUUUUCAGUAUAUAUUUGUCAUUUUUAACCAGUAGACUCAUUGACUGGUUAUUUUAUUAAUGUUGAAAUCUUACAAUUUUAGAGGAGUUAUUAAGCAAAUAAAUUAAUCUUCAGCUUUCCCA
rnacentral:lncRNA from 1 species